GAUGAACGCUAGCUACAGGCUUAACACAUGCAAGUCGAGGGGAAACGAUAUUGGAAGCUUGCUUCCGAUAGGCGUCGACCGGCGCACGGGUGAGUAACGCGUAUCCAACCUGCCCAUCACUUGGGGAUAACCUUGCGAAAGUAAGACUAAUACCCAAUGACGUCUCUAGAAGACAUCUGAAAGAGAUUAAAGAUUUAUCGGUGAUGGAUGGGGAUGCGUCUGAUUAGCUUGUUGGCGGGUAACGGCCCACCAAGGCGACGAUCAGUAGGGGUUCUGAGAGGAAGGUCCCCCANAUUGGAACUGAGACACGGUCCAAACUCCUACGGGAGGCAGCAGUGAGGAAUAUUGGUCAAUGGACGAGAGUCUGACCAGCCAAGUAGCGUGAAGGAUGAAGGUCCUACGGAUUGUAACUUCUUUAUAAGGGAAUAAACCUCCACGUGUGGGAGCUUGUAUGUACCUUAUGAAUAGC
rnacentral:rRNA from 1 species